ensembl:lncRNA
UGCCUGACUGUGGUGUCACCAUUCUAACUAUGAUGCUGAAAACACAGGUCCUCCCAGUAUUCUUCUCCAUGUUUUGCUCUGUUUCCUAAUGCUGUGUUGCUUGUUUAUAUGUGACUGUGUCCGAAGGAACUGUAAACAGAAAUGUCAUUCAUCCAAUAUCAGGUGCUAUGAGCAUGAUUGCCAUACUCCAUUCCCAGCACAAACAAAGGACCUGGAGACUGUCAAAAGAUAGGAUGGACAGCAUCACUGCCACACAGCGCUCAUGCUCCACCUUGCCUUUAUCAUCCGCCAGUUCAAGAACUAGUGGUAAGCAGUGGCUUUGGCUAAGACAGAAUGUGCAGAGAGCUUCAUUACCUAUCCUGGAAAGGUCCCCAACAAGGACUCCCAGCGUACAGCAGGCUAUUUGUGAGAAGGGCACCUCACUUCCUAUUCAGUCUUCAGACAAAAAUCUCUUAGCUCAGUGUUUAGAAUAAUAGUAGAAUAACAAAAUUUACUCAUUUAAGAUGCCAACAUUUUCUUCGAACUUGUGAUUGCUGUUAUGAUAUACCAAAUCUACACAUCAGCACACACAAGCACAUUCUCAGGCUCUUAAAGCGAGAUGUAAAUUAGUCAGAUGUAACUAGCCUGCUCCAGAUAAACAAAAGGAAGCAUGAGUUGGAUUCAGUUGUUGUGACCAGAAAAUCCCUACCUAAGGAAGUCAUUGGGUUUGAUUUUUAAAAAGUUUUUUUUUACAAGAGGAGUUAAGCUUCGUUUCUUUGCAUGGCACUGGAAUGAGCUGCUCUUUGAGAGCUCUGAAAUACUUUGUGCCACCGAAUCGUGUGCUUCUCCAAAAACAAGAAAGAUGUCUUGCAAGGAGACUUUGUAAAAAAUGAAGUUGCUACAACAGCUGAGAGACAGAGAAUGGUUCGAUUGAGAGAAAAGUAACAAACAAGUGUCAGAGUGGGCAGUUGGUGUCAGUUCCUGAAGGAUUUAAAACUUGACAAAAGCUUGAAGAAAUUAUGUUAACAGAGCCAAUGUCUUUAUGAAAAGAAUAUUGUACUUGACAAAAAUCCAUUGUAAACAACGUUUGACAGAGCCUUUAGUAAAGUGCUCCAGAGGAAAGAAUGAUGCAUAAAUGAAGUAUACAAAUACUGUAUUCCACUGAUAUUUAACAUCAUACGGUGUGGUUUCAUUUUUUUUCCUGAAAAAGAAAUUCCAUACUCAGUCAGAGCUCAGUACAGUGAUAAACUGUGGUUGAAAGUUCAUCUCUCCAAAGAAGCAAAACUGUGAGAAAGACCUUCGUACUUCAUUUAUAAUGAGAUUACAAUCCACAUGAAACAAGGUUUUCUAUUACCACUUUGAAACAACUCCUUACGCUCUAUAUAGAAUGUUCUCAAUCAUAUUUAGGAAAUCUAUUGUAUAUGCUAUAGAAGAACUAUUUAUAGUUUGUCUCAGAGAAGGACUGCACAGAUAAUUUUAGGCUAUGGAUUUCAGCAGGGCUAACCUUUUGCUGCACGUGGCUUAUGCACAAUACAAAAAAAAUUUCCAUGCCAAAGACGUAUCCCAUGACUGGCAAUGAAGGCCUGCUGGCCUGGCUGGGUAACCCAAAACCCUGGCGCUGGGAGGAAGUGAGCCAGUGGAAGCUGUCAGCAAAAUAGCCAGGACGCUGCGCAGUCCUGCUUCACACAGGAGCAGUGAGAUCGCAGAGCAAUCACUGCCAUCUCCUGCACGCAAGCCUUUCCAAAUGUGUGCUCUCCUCCGGCUUGUCUGGGUGCUAGAAGUCCUUGUGACU